CAAAUUACACAAGCGAAUUGCGAUGCGAACGCGCGUUUGGUGCCUUUCCUGGGUGCUUAAUGGUGUGACAAUUGCCGAAAGGCCUCUCCUAACCUACUUGUUGCACCUACCGGUGAAGCUGGGCCAAGUCAUGCUGUGAAUGAACCCAACCAAUCAAAGGAGCAAAAGGAACCGGUUGCACCAGAGCUCCCUCAGAAAUGUACAUUUGGGGUUGAACUACAAGCUCAAUGUGAUGGUCUUCCUGUCCCUAUGAUGGAGCUGCCAGAAGCCGAGUUGCAUGCAAUAUUGUGGUCCAGCAACUUAUGGAUUGAGAUGCCCAAAACAGCCACUGUGUGCAACUCUCAUUAUGAAGAAUUUAUUGGCUUCGCUAUUUCUCCAAGAGGGUCGGCUCAGCAAGGCUAUUGCUGUG